ensembl:lncRNA
UCUUACCAUAACAAAUGGGUUGAAUACUUAUUGAGUCAAUACAUUUCAGCUUUACAUUUUUUAUUAAUUUGUAAACAUUUUUGAAAAACACAAUUCCACUGACCUUAUCUGUGUAGGCGAGUGCCCCCCCCAAAAUCUCAAUGUAACACAUUUCAAAUGCAGGCUGUAACACAACAAAAUGUGUAAAAAGUCAUGGGGAGUGAAAACCUUCUCAAGGCACUGUAGAUCUAUUUGUUAGAAAGAAUACUAUAUUUCUCUUGACAAAGUUAUGCUGAAUGUAAAACAUGGCUCAGUUUACCCCACUCUCCCCGAAUUAAUGAAAUUGAUUGGUGACUGUUUUAAUUGAUGAAGCGAGACACAGAGACAAAGACAUAGACAUCCAUUGAGUUUGACUGUGCCCACCCACUACACAAGUUCAACGUAGUACCCUCCGGCAUCCCACUGUAAAAAAAAUAAAAGAAAAGGGGGUUGAUAACCACCCUAGAGGUGAUGACUUUUGGUCAUUUACUGCUUGUUUAUACAGAAGUACUAAUGUAACAUAGACAGUAGGUCAUUCCCUCAAACGAUUAAGUUCAGCGUUCAUCUGCCAUAUGGGAGAGGAAAAGGAGAUUUGAUGUCCCUGGCACAGACAAACAGGUACACAGACACCAAUCAUAGAAUGGAAUGUCUUUUCACCAAGCCAUCGUAAAUCUACUGUCAGUGUUAAAAUCUCAGCGGCUCCUCUCAAUUCACAGACACAGAGUUCUAAGAACACUAUUAUGUUGCCUAUUAGAUAUGACAGUGGGAAUGUACUAAUAUAGGGAUACAUUCUAAUAUAAAAGUAAUGUGAUUAACAUAAUGUUGUAAUUCUACGACACUGGACAGAAUUUUUUAUUUUUUAAUCCGUUAUUUUACCAGGUAAAAUAAAUAAAUACAAUUCAAUGGGUGUGCGAUGUUGCUGGAUAUUGCCGGGAACUGGAACACGCUGUCGAUCCAGAGCAUUCCAAACAUGCUCAAUGGGUGACAUGUCUGUUGACUAUGCAGGACCAUGGAGGAACUAGGACAUUUUCAGCUUCCAGGAACUGUGUACAGAUCCUUGUGACAAGGGGCCAUGUAUUAUCAUGCUGAAACAUGAGGUGAUGGCAGCAGAUGAAUGGCACAACAGUGGGCCUCAGGAUAUCUCUGUGCAUUCAAAUUGCCAUCGAUAAAAUGCAAUUGUGUUCGUGGUCCGUAGCAUAUGCCUGCCCAUACCAUAACCCCACACCCACCAUGGGGCACUCUGUUCACAACACUGACAUCAGCAAACCGCUCACCAACAAGACACUAUCUGCCCGGUACAGUUGAAACCAGGAUUCAUCGAUGCAGAGCACAGUAUACCAGUGGCCAUCGAAG